UACGCUCAGCAUCCUCAGUGACGACAGCUCGGAAGACAGAUAUAAUAUCUUGUGUAAGGAUGUCAGGUCAGAACUAGUCUUUCUUUCUUGUGGUAAAUUUCCCUGAUUUUGAAUGUAUGAUUUUUGAAAAGGGAUAAGUAAAACUUAAUCUCACAUUUGUUUUUGUACAUAUCUGGAAAUUUGGGGCUGAUAAAUUCAAAAACUGCGAGAGCUGAUUUUCUGGCGUGUCCUUUGGGAGUACUGUCAAACCUUGUGUGAAUGCAUUGGUUUCAUAUCAGUGCACUACUUCUCUAGGUUUAGUCGUAGUCAGGAUAAAGCACUGCCUGAUUGGCCAUGUGCUGUCUACGUGAAAUCUAGCACACAUUACCCAUGGCCUAUUCUCUGGUUGGACUAAGCUGACCCUGUCUGGCUGGCAGGAGUAUUAAGCUGCUGACAAUCUUCUGAGCCUCCUUAUUGCUUGACAACAGUCAGUACUUAGUGCAGAAGAGAGAGACACACAUCUAAAGCACAGUAGAUACGGUCGAUAAGGUCGAAGUAGGUCAUGAGUCAUGCCUGUUUCUCACCGAAGAGAAACCAACAUCCCUCUCAAAAUGGACUGACGUAGAUUGGCAGACCACUGCAUUUACCACUGCUUCAUUGCUCACCACCAUCACUGCCACUUUGUCAGAGCAGACGCAUCUACACUGCUGAAAACUACAUUAAAACAAGGGACCCGAGGGAAAUAAAAUAAAAGAUGCCAUCCCUUUGCAGCAGCGCUUCAUAUCUAAUGUGCAGCUGCUGUCCGAGCAGCAGGGACUCCACCAUUACGAGGAUAAUCUACGCCUUUAUCUUGCUGCUAGGCACCAUUAUUUCCUGCAUCAUGCUAUCCCCAGGUGUGGAUCAGCAGCUGAAAAGGAUCCCCGGCUUAUGUGAGGAUGGUGCUGAUUCUGCUUUCCCUAUCCUGAAGGCCGAUGUCAGCUGUGAGUUGUUUGUGGGCUACAAAGCAGUGUACCGGGUCUGCUUUGGCCUUAGCAUGUGGUUCCUGAUGUUUUCCAUUUUCACAAUUAACAUCAAGAACAGCAGAGACCCCCGGGCUGCCGUCCACAAUGGAUUUUGGUUCUUUAAGUUAGCUGCUUUGGUGGGAAUUACAGUUGGUGCCUUUCACAUUCCAGAUUGGCCUUUCAAUUACACAUGGUUUGUCAUAGGUUCUGGUGGAGCUUUCUUUUUCAUUCUCAUCCAGCUGGUGCUGCUGGUGGACUUUGCCCACUCCUGGAACGAGUCCUGGGUGGAGAAGAUGGAGAAUAGCAACUCAAGAGGCUGGUAUGCAGCGUUGUUGGCUGUCACCAUCCUGAGCUACAUCCUGUCCUUUAUUGCUGUAGUGCUGUUCUUUGUCUUCUACACCAAGGCUGAUGGAUGCCUCAUCAACAAGUUCUUCAUCAGCUUCAACAUGCUGUACUGUGUCGGGGCUUCGGUUGUGUCUGUGCUGAAUAAAGUACAGGAGUCUCAGCCACGCUCCGGUCUACUACAGUCCUCCAUCAUCACUCUGUACACCAUGUUUCUGACCUGGUCUGCAAUGACCAAUGAGCCUGACCGAGAAUGCAACCCCAACCUGGUGAGUAUCUUCCAGCAGAUCACCACCCCGACAUUGGCCCCUCUGGAGACAGAGAACCGGACAGCUGUGGUGAUCAUUGGCACAGAGGAACCAGUCCUCACAUCCCCAUACCUGCAGUGGUGGGAUGCCCAGGCUAUUGUGGGACUCGUUAUAUUUGUCCUGUGCAUCAUCUACUCCAGCAUUCGUUCAUCCAGCACCAGCCAGGUGAACAAGCUGAUCAUGGCCUCAAAAAACUCUACCAUUCUCUCUGAGGGGGCCACUACCACUGAAUUAUCAGAGGAAACGACAGGAACCAGGCGGGCAGAGGACAAUGAGCAAGCCAUUGUCCAAUACAGCUACUCCUUCUUCCACUUCAUGCUCUUCUUGGCCUCACUUUACAUUAUGAUGACUCUCACCAACUGGUACAGACAUCUGGUGUUUGUCUGUGGCUCCCAUGUCACUACUGAGCCUCACUGCACAAUGCAUCGACUCCAGUUUUGUUUUACGCCGCGCGAAACGUGCACGCACAGGAACUUCGCGGAUCCCACAUAGCAGAGCGCAUCCAACAGGCGAUGGAAACAAUGCUAAACAACCGGGGAGUAGACAAGCAACGGGUCCACGUAAUUUUGAGUGACAACGCUGCAAAAAUGAAGAAUGGCAUGAGGGAUAUGGGAGUGCGGCGUUUGGGCCGUGUCGCGCAUUCUUGCCAACUCUGCGUGCAUGAGGGCCUGCUUUCCCAGCGGAGUGUGACAGACACCCUGCCCUAGCCUACUCCAGCCUUGAAGAUAUCCAGAUGAACCUCAAUAUGGAUAUCAAGCGCCUACAACAAGAUGUGCAGGUGAGAUUUUUCUCAUAACAUUAUAUGAUUUAUUUCCAUUCCAUUAUUUAUUCCCAUGCACUUUAUUUAGUAGGCACUCCACCUGGUUAUGCCAAUUUGCACAAAAAUAAAGUGAAUCUUGUUCUCUUCUCAUGUGCAGACAAGGUGGAACAGCAGCCUCUACAUGCUGCAGAGCCUACUGGAACAAAAACAGGCUCUCAGUGUCUUUGCAGCUGAGCGCACUCUACCAGCAACACUGACAGCCGCCCAGUGGAAGCUGAUGAAGAAGACAGCUGAUGUGCUUGCCCCCUUUGAAGAGCUGAUCAGGGACGUGAGCAGGGAGACUGCAACUGCAGCUGAUGUGAUCCCUGCCAAAAUAGCACUCAGACGUGUUCUGUCUCGGGAGGAGGACGAUGUCAAGGGAAUCAAGACCAUGAAGAGGACUCUCCUGGAGGCUGUGGAGAAGCGCUUUGCUAAUGUUGAAACUGAGCCACUCUUGUACAUUGCCACUCUACUAGAUCCCAGAUACAAAGAUGGGCAAGUAUAGUAAAAUUAAAAUGCACCCUUUGUACAUCAUGUUCAUAUAAAGUCAAGUCUAUGGUCUUUGGUUCUAUGGUUAGAUUUUUAAUUGUUUAUUAAUUGAGUACAUGUGUAAGGCAGUUCCCUAACUGAAGAGCUGUGCUAUGUGUUGUCUGUUAUCUUAUGUUAUUGUUUUGAAUUGUGUUACAUUUAUCUAUUUUUAGCUUUUUCACAAAGUCUGCCAACUUGACGCUUGCAAAGGAACACCUCAUCCAGGAGGUGGCAAAGAUAGAGGGGGCAAGGGUAUCCAGUUCAGUCCCAGAGGAAGCAGGGGCUCCCGCAGACCCAUUGAGCAAGGCACCACGGCGUGAAUCAUGCAGCUGCCUGGACAGCGCUUUUGGGGAAAUCUAUAAGAGAGGCAGUCACAGGCUCGGUCUGUGAGUAGCACAUUGGCAGAAGUGCAGGUGCAAACCUACCUCUCAGAGCAAACCACCCCUAAGAGAAGUGAUCCACUUCAGUACUGGAAAGAACAUGCUAAUCAGUUCCCCUCCAUGGCUGCUCUUGCAAACCACUAUCUCUGUGCCCCCUGCAGGUCUGUGGACAGCGAGAGACUUUUUAGUGCUGUCGCUAUCCUUGAUGAGAACAGGAACAGACUCAAACCUGACAAGGUAGAGAUGUUGGUUUUCAUCAAGAAAAACAUACAUUUCCUUCUGUGAAGCCAGAGGAGGAGAGUAAGAAUUAGGAGCGCAGUUCCGAAAAGCACAUUACUGGCCUUACUUUAUAACACUCUGGCACUUUUAUUUGCUUAAUUGUUUACAUGCCUGCCAGGUAUUUCAAGUUGAGCUGCUGUUCGUUUUUAUAUUAGACAUUGUUGCACUAAACUCCAAUGUGAAGAAUGUUUUUAUUACUUGAUUGUUCAAGCUACCUCACAGAAGUGCUCUGUUCCUAAGUGUCAAAUGAUAAAAUAAAAAAGUCAGGGACAUCCUGGAUCUGUU